UUGUAUGCGAUGUCGCAUGUCUGGACUUGUUCAGUGUUGCAAUUUUUACCCUUCGUUAAUAUCUUGUUGUUGUUGUCGUCUUGUGUUAGACGUUGAGCUUCGUAGCGAUGUGCGGUAACGCUACGAUUAUUCCUGAGCGCUCCGUGUGUUUAAUGCGUUGUCCUCUUUGCGUGCAUGCGUGUGCUUUUUUUCUCCUGAUUUGUGACGUCCUCGUGGCAUGUCUGGACUUGUUUAGCAGUGUUGCAGUUCUUCCCGCUGCUAGUAUCUUGUUGGUGUCAUGUUGUGCUAGCCGCGUGGCGAUGUGUGGUGACCUGAGGUCUUAAGCCUUUUCCCUGCUCACCUAAGGAAAUUUGUGUAUCCCUGUCCUGUGCUUUCUUUACGCAAGGGUAAUGCGACUGUGUAUGUGGCAUUAUGCAAGAAUUAUCUGGUGGCAGAAAUAGGCGUAUUUUUCUCAGUGUAUUGGCGUGCGCUACGGUUUCUUGCAGUUACAGCUAUUGGAGCACACAUACGUGUAAUUUUUCGCGGUUCUUUUCUCCUUUCACGGCUUUUACUCAGAAUGUAGAUGAGGGGAAACAGUCAGCAUCCAGGUAGAGCAGGAGAAAGCCGCUCGGCAGAGGAGAGAGUUCAUGAGAAUGGAAUUUGUUUGUUUGUUUUUUGUUAUAUGUUGAGUGUUAGUAUUCGCUUUCCUCGAUAUGUUGAGGAAGUCAGCCGUUAUAGGUAUUUGUGCAGAAAUGCUGGUAUCUGAGUGUGUGGAGUAGAAAUUCCUAUAAAGCACCUCUCCUUGUGCAUUCCUGAGCUGCUGUGUGCGCGCGCGUGCUUCUUUUUCCUGGAUUGCGACGUCAUGAUGGCAUGUUGGGGCUUGUUUAGCAGUGUUGCAAUUUUACCCGCUGCUAUUAUCUUGUUAUCUUGUGUUAGCCGCGUAGCGAUAAGCGGUGAUUCUCCGAUUAUUCCUGAGGUCUUAAGCCUUUUCCCUGCUCACCUAAGGAAAUUUGUGUAUCCCUGUCCUGUGCUUUCUUUGCGACAAUGCGUCUGUGUAUGUGGCACUAUCAGAUACCAGACAUGAGUGUCCUUUUCUUGGUUUAUUGGCAUAUGCUUCAGGUUUUUUUAAGUCAAGCACAAGUGCGCGCAAUUUUUCGCUGCUCUCUUCCUCAGAUCACCGAUUUUACGAAGAAGACAGUCGCAUGGUACAGCUGAGAAGAGGGUUUCUCUGAUUGUUUGUUUGAUUUUGUUGGGUGUUCGAUAUGUUGAGGAAGUCAGCUGUUAAAGGUAUCCGUGAAGAAAUGCUUGCACCUGAGCGCAGGAUAGGAAUUCCUGAAGCACGGCACCCUCAGUGUAAAUUAAUUAUGUUGGAUAUGAGUCUGCUUCCCUGCAUGACAAGGCUGAAAUGGGAAGAGAGAAAAAAUUGGAGCGCUUCAUUAGUAGCGAUCCAAGUAAUAGGGCAAUUAUAGUUUCCAUAGAAAGUAGAAUUUUAAUGGGCUCCUAAAAUUAUAGUUUAGUUGUAGUUUUUCUAAACUGCAAUGCAAUAAUCAUUAAUAUAGUAUAGGAAUGCUAUCGUGUUCCCGUAAAGGCGUUCUGUCUUGUGCUUUGGAAUGCGCGAAUAGAACUUUGCUCGCAGCCUUUCCCGCCUUCAUGCUCGCAAUGCGCGAAUGGAACUUUGCCCACCCGGCUUCCGCGCCUUUUUUGCUCGCGGGUGUAGCCUCAGACAACGAAUGUAUGAGCAUAGAAAGGGUCACGUAUUACAUAAGCCUGGAGGUGAUGUUGAGUGGUCUCACUUAUUAUUUUAAAAGAGCAGUGGCAGUUUACUGUAAUUCUAAUGACCAUGAUGAGCCUUUGGGGUGAAAAUCGUUAAUAUGCGGGUGCUUUUUUGUUGAAUUUUAAUGAGAGAAUCAAUGUCAUUAAGAGUAGGACAAAGGAAAUAAUCUUGCGAUUCAAUAAUUAAUAGAAGUCUUUGCCGCUGUCUUCUUCUUCUUCAGACAGGAUGUGAUGACGACACGCAGUCUGUAGCAAUGCAUUGACCGUCACUGGAAAAAAAGUGUAGCAAUAGAAAAAUGGUUGACCUUGUCUAGAGGAGCAUUAGUGGAAAAAAACUGUGUAGCCCUGAGACAAUAGGAUGCCGUUACGACCAAUGAGAACGGCCUGCAGGGGGCGCAAGGAUUCACUUCUCUCUUGGACACUGACGGGUCUCGACACGCAAAUUCUGCUCCUGGCGUUGGCCGUCAGUGGAAGAGCGUAGCUUAGGUGGAUUUUGUGACGAGCGGAUUUACAAUGAGGGAAUGCUGUGAACGGGAAAAAUGAUGAGCUGUCCUAACUUGCCCAGACAUGCCAUGAUGACGUCACAGCUGACGUCACAGGAUGUCCGGAACUUGUGGUCAUAGCUGGGAUGCUUUGCAACCUGCCUCUGUGCUCCGUCGCCCGGCGAUGGUCAGCGGCCUUUCCGGGCCGCUUCCUUCAAGAUGGCGUCGUUGAUCUUCAACUAAACUCCUUCUCUCCACUCUAUCUCUAUCUAUUUUUUUAUUUUUUAUGACCACGUUUAUCCGGAAACGCACAGGGUGGUCUGGACACUAGUUAGACGCUCCCCAAUUAGUGUGAUGACUCAUUGGAUGAUGCUGAUUAAUGUGGGGGGUCCCAAUUAGCUCUAAUUGCUAAUUAAUGGCGUCCAGAAGCCUUGUAGCGUUUCCGGAUAAGCGUGGUCAGUACUUAC